rnacentral:rRNA from 1 species
CUAACUCCGUGCCAGCAGCCGCGGUAAUACGGAGGGUGCGAGCGUUAAUCGGAAUUACUGGGCGUAAAGCGCAUGCAGGUGGUUUGUUAAGUCAGAUGUGAAAGCCCGGGGCUCAACCUCGGAAUUGCAUUUGAAACUGGCAAACUAGAGUACUGUAGAGGGGGUAGGAAUUUCAGGUGUAGCGGUGAAAUAGCGUAGAGAUCUGAAGGAAUACCGGUGGCGAAGGCGGCCCCCUGGACAGAUACUGACACUCAGAUGCGAAACGCGUCGGGGAGCAAACAGGAUUAGAUACCCUGGUAG